rnacentral:sRNA from 1 species
GGAUGUGAGGGUGAUCUGGCUGCGACAUCUGUCACCACAGAGAGGGUCGAUUCUGCUGAUCUGGCUGGCUAGGGGGGUGUCCCCUUCCUCCCUCACAGCUCCAAGUGGAUCCUUCCCGAAGCUGCUCACUUGGUUGAAGAAGAUGACAACUCCUGAUAGAGGAGGACCAUCGUGAAUUCUAACCUCCUCUCACUGAAAUGGCCGAUAGUUUCCCCAUGGUGUGUGUUCUCUUUCACCCAGAGUAAUAAACCCAACUUGCUCAACCAUAGGUGUGUUCCUGU